CAAUUUCUGUUUCUGUUGUCACACUUUUACAAAUUUCACUUCAGCUUGGAGAGUGUGCCAACAAGUUAGCGUCUUCCAUGCAAACUGUGGAGCACAGGCUCGCAGCAUCAUCCAGCCAAUCCAGUUCUGAUUUCCUCAAGAAGGCCAAAAAACAAAACCUCAAGAUAUGAACGCCAUCAUGCAUGUCCAGAAUAACUCGCCCUCGACCAUCACCCCUAAAUGUCCCACACCACCAUCUACCGUCAGCCCACCAACUAUCCUAUGAAUCCUUCCCUCUUCACUGAUGAUGAAAGUUCCCGAGCCUCCCAUGCUCACGGUCAUUUCUGACCUUGAAAUUCUCACUCGGUGUUUGUGAGUUUUUGGACGCCUUUUUUUUUUUUUUCCACCAUUUUUUUAACAGUUUCCUGUGUACACUGGCGUACCCCCGCCCUUAUGUUGCUUGUCUGUGUUUCAUGGCGUAUAGUGUGAUGAUAUCUGUGCUCUUUAUGUGCUAUGGAGUUUUUAUGUUUUCUCCUCAUGAUGACUCACUUGUUGGAGUCAUCAUGGGCAGAAACCCUUUUUUUUUUUUUGUUUUGUUUUCUCCUGACCUUGCCCCUAUAUGUUACAUAUUUCACUGUCUACCCCCUUUUUUUGCUGCCUAGCCUGACCUGUCUCCCCAAUGUAAGUUUGUUUAUUGCAUGUAUUGUCUGUAUGGUCAACUAGGUCUGUCAUUUCAGCUGCAGGCAACUGCAACUGACAAAUAAAGCGUAUCCUUAUCCUUUGCAAAAUU